rnacentral:tRNA from 104 species
GACGUGGCCAAGUGGAUUAAGGCAGU